rnacentral:rRNA from 1 species
UACGUAGGUGACAAGCGUUAUCCGGAAUUACUGGGCGUAAAGCGCACGCAGGCGGCGCAUUAAGUCUGACGUGAAAUCUCCUGGCUUAACUGGGAGGGGGUCGUUGGAGACUGAUGUGCUUGAGGCGAUGAGAGGGGUGUAGAAUUCCCGGUGUAGUGGUGGAAUGCGUAGAUAUCGGAGGGAAUACCAGUGGCGAAAAGCGACACCCUGGCAUUAGCCUGACGCUCAUGUGCGAAGGCGUGGGGGAGCGAUCCGG